rfam:Schistosoma mansoni strain Puerto Rico chromosome 1, complete genome
AUUUAGCUGAAGAGUCUCAGACAGGAAGAAACGCACGUCCUGGAU